UCUUUGUGUGUGUGUGUGUGUGUGUUUAUUGUCAUGGACGUCAAAAGCAAAAAGAAAAGAAAAGAAAGGAGAAACAAAGUGGCGACUUUUGUCAUUUACUAGUAAUGAAUGUACGAAUUCACGUUGUGCCACUUACGAUAUUGGAAGAAACUGGAUAUGCUACGAGUGUGGUGAUUUUCUGUUAAAACUUGAAAUUUUUAUUAAAUUUAAUUUAUUUUAAUCUAGGUAUUGAGGUCCCACUCCUUGCUCAAGGUCUGUCCCCUCUGAUCCUUGGGAGGCUUGGAGGCCUCAAGGUUAGCUUCAAGAGGCAAGGGGUUUCAAGCUGUUAUCAACUUGAGGGCUUGACUCAGGACCUUGGAAGGAUUUGGCAUGGGCUCCUAACCUCAAGAAAGCCGGCGAUAACACCCAACUUAGGUCCAAUUUACCUUUUACAAGGUAUGGAACAUCAUUAAAGAUGAGGUGCUUAGGGUGUUCCAUGACUUUCUGAAAGCAACAUUCUGAACGGUUGUAUCAAUGAAACCUAUAUGUGCCAUGUUUCCAAUAAAGCUCAUGUUACCAAAUAAAGCUCGUGUUACCAAAGUUGUUGAUUUCAGACCAAUAAAUUUGAUCACCAUUCUAUAUGAGCUUAUAGCUAAAGUCUUAGCUAAGAGACUUAAGAAGGUCUCCAUGAAACUAUUAAUGGUAGCCUAUUGGCCUUGAUUGCAUGUUGGAAAAUUCUCGACCCAAUUUUGGUUGCCAACGAAUUACUUGAUGAUUUUUUCAUUAACAAGAAGGAUGAGUGGGUCUUCAAAAUUGAUUUUGAGAUGACUUACAAUAUGGUUGAUUGAGAUUGUCUACUUGAGGUGCUAAAGCAAAAAGGCAUUGGAACUUGUUGGAUUGGUUGGAUUAAAGCUUGUGUUACCAGUACCUUUUCUCUUUAUUGAUUAAUGGUCGACUGAGCGGUCAUAUUUGUGCUACUAGGGAGUUAAGGCAAGGCCAUCCGCUUGUUCCUUUCCUGUCUGUCCUGACGACACGUUGCUUUUCUCUACCCUUGACUAUUCUAUGCUUAAUAACUUGAAGAACGUGGGUCCAAUUUGAAGAUUAAUCUCUCGUAAUGUCUCUUGGCGCUAGAGUGGGUUUAUGCUGCUGGCGUUUGGCCAUUUGAGUAUCUGGGGAUGUCCCUUGGUGGUAAUCCAAAAAAAGUCUUCUUUUUGGCUGCCAGUUGUGGAUAAAAUUGAUAGAAAUUUGGAUCGUAGGAAAAACCUUACUUUGUCGAGAAGAGGCAGAAUUAUGUCGGCCAAAACAUUUUGUCAUGUAUCUAUACUAAAUUUUAUCUUUUCCCAGUAGGGUUCCCAAUUCGUAGGAGGAAUUGAUUAGAUAACAAAAAAGAUACCUAAGAAGUUCAAUCAAUUUACAAAAAAUAACAAAAAAAGAUCAAGCGGUGGUUAUUCUAAAAUAGGGCUAACUGUGAGUGGUUGCAUUGGCCAAAGAAAAAAUUGCAAGCUGGCUAACUCUUUGAUAACCAACACCACAGGGUGAGUUUUAUUCUUUUUCCUUACUUUACUUUUGUUUGGGGUGAGGCAUAAGAUCCAAAAUAAAUCAUAAAAUAUAAAACCUGAUGUUGUAGGAUUAUGUUAAUCUUGGGUAAUUUUUUGGUUAAUCCCUUUUUACCAUCUUUUUGUGUCAAUUCUUUAUAAAUUUAGAAUCUCCCUCUGGUUUAUUCUAUUACUUGAUUGUAGUAAAGAUACUUGGUUUAAUUUUGGGAGAAAACUCUCCUUUUAUCUCUUAGGCUACACCAUAUAUAGUUAUAAUGGUUUGAGCUACAAUAUCAGGGAUCUUUUUAUGAAACAAUCUUUCGCAAUCAGAGUUCCCCAUGAAGAAAAGGCAAUUUAUAGUAUUUAUUCUCAUUGCAGAUAAAGUUCUUCAUGAUAGGAGGAGGCGAAGGAGAAGGGGGGACUUCGUUUUUUAAGCAUAGAUAGGCUGAUGAUUUUGUGUUUGAGAUUAUUUUUUAUUUUAUUUUUAUUUUUUGCAUUGCAUGACUUCUAAAUACACUCGAUGAUUUAUGCCUCUUAUGGUCGCUCAUUUUCAUUGGCUUGUCUGGCAACUUCGGAUUGAGUAGUUGUUGCCUUUUAUUCCUUUUCAUUUUUUGGCAAUAAAUUUACUGGGUUAAAAGACAUUUCGGAUGGGAUAGUUCUUGUCUUUAGAUGGAGCCCUCUUUGAAGACUUUU